rnacentral:lncRNA from 1 species
CCUGAACCUGAUCAUCUCCGUUCUCCCUGGGGUGUUGUCCCCUGGGUCCUUGUCACCAGCAGCAUCAGCCUUGCCGGGGCUCAUUGGAAUACAGAACCUCAGGCUGGCCCCUGGACCUACUGGAUCAGAACCUGCAUUCUGAAAAGGUCCUGGUGAGUCACAGGCAGAGGAAAGCCUCAGGAGCACUCCCUGCGUGCAUCACAGAAGCCCCGCUCACCCUGAGGCCUCGGUGUGGGCUGUGGUGCCCACAGCUCCAGCUCUCUAGGAACCAAUUAGAACUCCUGGUCAAAGAUGUGGAAGGAACGGACUCUUCCUCCAGAAUCCCCGUGAGAGAGACAAGGAAUGGGCAUUAAACCAAGCUAAGGGGAGGGGGCCGUAACGAGGCUCUGGGAGCUCCUGGGAAACGGUGACCAGUGACCAGCUCAGUGAGGCUAGGACCCUCGCUGGCGAGAUGGGAGGAGUUUUCCUCUUGAAGAAUCUGGCCAGGCUGUGAAAGAAGCCCAAUGGACAUGGACAUGAGGGGUUUCCCAAGAGAAUGCCCUAACAAGGGUGCAUCACAGAGGGCACAUGGGACCUGAGCACGGAGCUUCCAACAAGCUUUUCCUUCCUGCGAUUUGAAGUCAGCACCCCCAGACAGAGGAAAAUACGGAACGUGACAGUAGCAGACAUGGUCCUAUGAAGAGAGAAGAAAAUGUCAAAAUCACAACUGUGAGCGUCCUCAAGGGGUGAAAGAGGACACUCCAGCAGAUAACAAGGAUAGGAUGCUAUUAAAAAGAGCAUGAAAAUGUGAUUAAAAACACAGAAGUCAUAAAAACUGUGGACUCGGAACAAAUCAGCAGACCUACUGACUGUCAAGGUUUUACUGAAAAUGUCCUUGUGCCGGCAGCAUCGCCCUGGUAGGCCAGUGAAUGGAGCCAGUACACACCUCUCUUUCCCUGCCUGCUGUUGACGAUCUCCUCCGCCCCCAGAGCCUGGAGGCCCGUUUCCUCCUCAUCUUGCCCAUCGGAGAAGAUCCACUCUGCUGCUCCAGGCAGACUUCUGGGCGUCCCUGGGACUCUGUCCAGCUGUGCAUCCUUCCUCUCCUGGCCAGAACGCAGGUCCCUCAGGAUGGCCCUGGCCCUGUGUCCACUGCCGUUCCUCCACGUCUGCCAUGCUGCUUGGCACACGGUAGGCGCUCGGUGAGUGUUCGUCAUGAUUUAAUAAUCCCCCGGGUUACACACUCACCGUCUCCUCCUUUGGAAUCCCAUCGGCGGGGGGGCCUGAGGUUCAGCUUUGUCAGAGUCGCAGGGACGGGUGAGGCUGAGGGUGAGCAUGAGCACCCUCCUCCAGGUGCUUGUCCUGGGCACCAUCACCGAGGGGGUCCUUCCUCCCAUUGGCUGCAAUUCGCUGGGCCGUUUGUGCUGCUAUGA